GUGCCAGCCGCCGCGGUAAUACGGAGGUGGCGAGCGUUACUCGGUUUGACUGGGUGUAAAGGGUCUGUAGGCGGCCUUACAAGUGGAAGGUGAAAUCUUUCGGCUUAACCGGAAAACUGCCUUUCAAACUGUAUGGCUUGAGGAUGGAAGAGGAGAGCGGAACUGUUGGUGUAAAGGUGAAAUUUGUGGAGAUCGACAGGAACGCCCGUGGAGAAGUCGGCUCUCUGGUCCAUACCUGACGCUGAGGGACGAAAGCUAGGGGAGCGAACAGGAUUAGAUACCCUGGUAGUCCUAGCUGUAAACGAUGGGCACUAGGUGUUCGUCCGUAGGAUGGGUGCCGCAGUUAACACAUUAAGUGCCCCACCUGGGGACUACGGUCGCAAGGCUAAAACUCAAAGGAAUUGACGGGGACCCGCACAAGCGGUGGAACACGUGGUUUAAUUCGAUGCUACGCGAGAAACCUUAUCCAGGGUUUGACAUGCAGAAAGUAAUUCCGAUGAAAAUCGGGAUGAUCGGUAUCCAGUCCGAAAUCUGCACAGGUGCUGCAUGGCUGUCGUCAGCUCGUGCCGUGAGGUGUUCCCUUAAGUGGGAGAACGAGCGCAACCCUCGCCCUUUGUUGCCACCCUCCCAGCUUGUCUAGAAGGAGCACUCUAAGGGGACUGCCCGCGUUAAGUGGGAGGAAGGUGGGGAUGACGUCAAGUCCGCAUGGCCUUUAUGUCCUGGGCUACACACGUGUUACAAUGUCUGUUACAAUGAGAAGCGAAAUCGUAAGGUGGAGCAAAUCUCUAAAAAAUAGGCUCAGUACGGAUUGUAGGCUGCAAUUUGCCUGCAUGAAGCUGGAAUCGCUAGUAAUGGCGCAUCAUCACGGCGCCGUGAAUACGUUCCCGGGCCUUGUACACACCGCCGUCAAGCGCUGAAAGUGGGGGGCGCCUGAAGUGCCGCCUUAGCGGAUCACGGUGAAUUUCAUGAUUUGGCGCUUAAGUCGUAACAAGGUACC
rnacentral:rRNA from 1 species